CAAGAACAGCCGUCAGUUCUCAACGAGCAGUGCCCGUGGAAGGUUACGUUCACUGUGUCUGGUGUGUGUUCAAUUAAUAUCUCGAAUAGUGUGAAUAUAUCAGUGAAUUUAGGCCUAGUGCGGAUUUAGAAGCGAGAGACAGACCGUAAUCUCAAGCCCACCGCGGAAAUUAAAGCUUAGUUAAAAAAAGAACCAAACCACACACACACACAUCACCAUGGGUAUCCGCCACUCCAAGAAGUCCGUCGACA